rnacentral:rRNA from 1 species
GAUGAACGCUGGCGGCGUGCCUAAUCAAUGCAAGUCGAGCGAACAGACGAGGAGCUUGCUGCUCUGGCGUUAGCGACGCACGGGUGAGUGACACGAGGAUAACCUACCUAUAAGCCUGGGAUAACUUCGGGAAACCGGAGCUAAUACCGGAUAACAUGUUGAACCGCAUGGUUCAACAGUGAACGACGGUCUUGCUGUCACUUAUAGAUGGAUCCGCGCCGCAUUAGCUGGUUGGUAAGGUAACGGCUUACCAAGGCAACGAUGCGUAGCCGACCUGAGAGGGUGAUCCGCCCUACAGGAACUUACACACGGACGAGACUCCCACGGGAGGCAGCAGUAGGGAAAUUGCCCCCAUAUUCGAAAGCCGGACGGAGCAACGCCGCGUGAGUGCUGAAGGGCUUCCGAUCGUAAAACGCUGUUAUUGUGGAAGAUCAACUCUGCAUUGAACCACGCACGUCUUGACGGUACCUAAUCAGUAGGCCACGCCUAACUACGUC